GCACUGAUAGUUUAGUGGCAGAAUGCAGCUUUCCCAAGGCUGCGGCUCGGGUUCGAUUCCCGGUCAGUGCA
rfam:Rhodotorula sp. JG-1b unplaced genomic scaffold RHOSPscaffold_42, whole genome shotgun sequence.